rnacentral:rRNA from 1 species
AGAUUAAGUUAUUAAGGGCGCACGGUGGAUGCCUUGGCACUAGAAGCCGAUGAAGGACGUUACUAACGACGAUAUGCUUUGGGGAGCUGUAAGUAAGCUUUGAUCCAGAGAUUUCCGAAUGGGGAAACCCAGCACGAGUUAUGUCGUGUUAUCUGCAUGUGAAUACAUAGCAUGCAAGAAGGCAGACCCGGAGAACUGAAACAUCUUAGUACCCGGAGGAAGAGAAAGAAAAAUCGAUUCCCUGAGUAGCGGCGAGCGAAACGGGAAGAGCCCAAACCAAUAAGCUUGCUUAUUGGGGUUGUAGGACACUCUGUACGGAGUUACAAAAGAAUUUGUUAGACGAAUAACCUGGAAAGGUUAAUCAGAGAAGGUAAUAAUCCUGUAGUCGAAAACGAAUUCUCUCUUGAGUGGAUCCUGAGUACGACGGAGCACGUGAAAUUCCGUCGGAAUCUGGGAGGACCAUCUCCUAAGGCUAAAUACUCUCUAGUGACCGAUAGUGAACCAGUACCGUGAGGGAAAGGUGAAAAGUACCCCGGAAGGGGAGUGAAAGAGAACUUGAAACCGUGUGCUUACAAGUAGUCAGAGCCCGUUAAUGGGUGAUGGCGUGCCUUUUGUAGAAUGAACCGGCGAGUUACGAUCUGAUGCAAGGUUAAGCAGAAAAUGUGGAGCCGUAGCGAAAGCGAGUCUGAAUAGGGCGAAUGAGUAUUUGGUCGUAGACCCGAAACCAGGUGAUCUACCCUUGGUCAGGUUGAAGUUCAGGUAACACUGAAUGGAGGACCGAACCGACUUACGUUGAAAAGUGAGCGGAUGAACUGAGGGUAGCGGAGAAAUUCCAAUCGAACUUGGAGAUAGCUGGUUCUCUCCGAAAUAGCUUUAGGGCUAGCCUCAAGUGAUGAUUAUUGGAGGUAGAGCACUGUUUGGACGAGGGGCCCCUCUCGGGUUACCGAAUUCAGACAAACUCCGAAUGCCAAAUAAUUUAACUUGGGAGUCAGAAUGUGGGUGAUAAGGUCCAUAUUCGAAAGGGAAACAGCCCAGACCACCAGCUAAGGUCCCAAAAUAUAUGUUAAGUGGAAAAGGAUGUGGCGUUGCCCAGACAACUAGGAUGUUGGCUUAGAAGCAGCCAUCAUUUAAAGAGUGCGUAAUAGCUCACUAGUCGAGUGACACUGCGCCGAAAAUGUACCGGGGCUAAACAUAUUACCGAAGCUGUGGAUUGUCCUUUGGACAAUGGUAGGAGAGCGUUCUAAGGGCGUUGAAGCAUGAUCGCAAGGACAUGUGGAGCGCUUAGAAGUGAGAAUGCCGGUGUGAGUAGCGAAAGACGGGUGAGAAUCCCGUCCACCGAUUGACUAAGGUUUCCAGAGGAAGGCUCGUCCGCUCUGGGUUAGUCGGGUCCUAAGCUGAGGCCGACAGGCGUAGGCGAUGGAUAACAGGUUGAUAUUCCUGUACCACCAUUAUUCGUUUUAAGCGAUGGGGGGACGCAGUAGGAUAG